AUCGUAUUCAACUGUAGUUAACUAACUACGAUUACUUUCCGCUCGUCUUCUCUCAUUUCAGCUUUUCUGUUUCGCUUCUCAAAUCUUUUCAAUCUUUAUGGGGGAAAAACAAGAAAUUAGGGAAAUUAUGUGCCCUAGAUGAGAUAUUGAUUUAAAAAUUUCCUGAAUCAUCUCGUUUUUGGCUUGCUUUUUUUUUCGACCUUGACUGAGUAUGAUUUUUUUCGUAUUAUCCUCCACCGAUGUGAACUUUCUUUGAUUUCUUUUUGUGUGAAUGGAGACACAGAGAGUGGUGGAAUUUCCUCAUAGGAGCAUGGAUCAAAGGCCUCGGAAACGACCUCGUUUGACAUGCGAUCUGAUGCCGACUGUCCCUCCUGCUCCUCCAAAGAUUCUUCCAACUGUAUACUGUGCCCAAGAGUUUGGGGCUGUCCCUAGUUACGCAUGUUCGUCAAUAUAUUAUAAAGGGAUUCCGCGUAAUGGUUCUCCACCUUGGAGACUUGAUGAUAAAGAUGGGCACUAUGUGUUUGCUAUUGGAGAGAACUUAACUCCUCGUUACAGGAUACUAAGUAAAAUGGGUGAAGGGACUUUUGGGCAAGUUUUAGAAUGUCUGGACAAUGAAAGGAAAGAGAUAGUUGCUAUCAAAGUUGUUCGUUCCAUACAAAAGUACCGGGAAGCAGCAAUGAUUGAAAUUGAUGUCUUACAGAAACUAGGAAGGCAUGAUAUCUGCGGUACACGUUGUGUGCAAAUACGGAAUUGGUUUGACUAUCGUAAUCAUAUUUGUAUUGUGUUUGAGAAGCUUGGUCCAAGCUUGUAUGAUUUUCUACGCAAAAAUAGCUAUCGUUCAUUUCCCAUUGAUCUUGUUCGGGAGUUUGGCAGACAACUUUUGGAAUCUGUCGCAUUUAUGCAUGAUCUUCGCCUGAUUCACACCGAUUUAAAACCAGAAAAUAUUCUUCUGGUGUCCUCAGAAUAUAUUAAAGUUCCAGACUAUAAGUUUCUAUCAAGAUCUGCAAAAGAUGGUCCCUACUUCAAAAAUCUACCUAAAUCAAGCGCUAUAAAGCUUAUUGAUUUUGGAAGUACUACUUUUGAGCAUCAAGAUCACACCUAUGUAGUGUCUACACGCCAUUAUCGUGCACCAGAGGUUAUUCUCGGUCUUGGAUGGAACUACCCCUGCGAUAUGUGGAGUAUAGGUUGCAUACUUGUUGAACUGUGCUCUGGUGAAGCUCUUUUCCAGACUCAUGAGAACUUGGAACAUCUUGCAAUGAUGGAAAGGGUGCUUGGACCACUACCUCCAAAUAUGAUCAUGCGAGCCGAUCGUCGGACUGAGAAAUAUUUCAGAAGGGGUACAAGACUGGAUUGGCCAGAGGGCGCCACCUCCAGAGAAAGUAUGAGGGCAGUCUGGAAAUUGCCCCGACUUCCGAACCUUAUCAUGCAGCAUGUGGAUCGCUCGGCUGGAGAUUUGAUUGAUCUUCUUCAAGGACUUCUACGUUAUGAACCUUCAGAACGGCUGAAGGCAAGAGAAGCUUUAGGGCACCCGUUUUUUACGAGGGACCUCAGGCGAUUUGGAUAUCUGUAAACGAAGAUGUGAUGAAAGAUACGAUGAAGCCAUCGGGUGAAUAAAAUUUCACAUGCAUGUGUGAAUUGCAAAAUUAAAAUGAAUAGAUAGAGAGAAAGGGAAGGGGGUGGAGAAUACAAGUUCAACAUCGGCGCCUGUCAACUGCAAAUGCACUGACGUCGUUCAAACCCCCCGAUCAUGUUGUAAAAUAUGCAGGUUUUGCAGUAUUUCUCUUUGCCUUGUAUGCCUUUUUUGGAACCAGAUAUUGAACCACUUAUUAUCCAGUCGUCGCCAGGUAACGUUUGCCAUGUGUAUAUGCUUAUUCUUAUUGCAAAGAGACAGUUUCAUUCAGCGAUGAUGCUUUUAGUUAUUUUAUGUUAGUGAAGUGGAUUAUCUCCAAAUAAUUUACUACUAGAACAUGGCCCGUUGAUUUAUUACUGAAAGUCAUUCAAUUGGACCAUGAGGAUCGGAAAUAACAAACAAAAUGUAAAGUUUGUGAUA